GGCGUCGGGCGGUUGCUAGAUGGGCCUGGACCUGUUUUAUGUUAUUUUUUAUGAUCUGUUUGGGCCUGGACUUGUUUUAUGUCAUUUUUAUGCCCUAUUUAAAGGCCAGAACGUCUUAGGGUUUGUAUCUUUUGAUGGCUUAGGCACAGAAACACACUUUUCACCCCUUUGGGGUAGAUUUGGAGAUGGUGACAGCUCUCCUUUUCUCCUUUUUAGGGUUUGUAUCUCUUUCAUUCCAAUCUUCACCUAGUUUAUCCAUGACGAUGGUAAACUAAAUCCUAUUGUUGUUGGGGAAAACAAUGUAAUCUUUUGAUACUCUCUCUUAUUGAAACUAUUGAUUAUUUAUAUGGUCUCCAUAUGUUUUGAUUGAUUAUUGUUGGGUUAUCAUUUGUGCUUAAGGCCUUUAUCGUUUAACUCAUUCGGUAUAUUGAUGUUUGUCUUUAUUGAUAUGGGGACGUACAGUAAUGACAUGAACUGGUGAGUAAUCUCUUGAUUUUGCAAUAGCACCUAGGGAUAGGGGUAGGACGAUCAAUUGCGCUAACUUCUGUUUAUAAUGCGGUAUUAAUUACUAGGGGAGGCUAGGGAUAGCAAGCCAGUAGUUAAUAUUAGGCCCUUUUCGCCGAGGGAUCGGGUUGAGGGGAGGCUAAGAAAGUCGCAUAACAAUUGAAUCAAUCAACUAAUAUUCAAGGGUAGUAUGUAAGAGAGAGUGGAAUAUAUGAAAUUGUUAGUACUCAACAACAUCCAUUCAUCCAUUGUUUUGUGUUUAACCUCAAUUGAUCAAAUUGCAUUCAUGUUUAUUUUUCUGCACUUUAUAAAAAUCCCAAAAUAUUAUUUUUAUAGUCUUGAUUGGUUAAGCAAAAGCACAACAAUUUAGUGUCGUGAGUCUCUUGGGAAAAC
rnacentral:lncRNA from 1 species